rnacentral:tRNA from 1 species
UGGCUCAGUUGGUAGAGCAUGGUGUUUGCAACGCCAUGGUUGUGGAUUCAAUUCCCAC